AAAGGGUCCGCUCCAGCCCCCAACCCAGGCACUGGGACUCUGGUGGCACCCUGGGUGGCAGGCAAGCCUUGAAAUCAAGUGCACGAGCCUUGGAAAGGAGGACCGGGAGAGUUAUGGCAUUUAUGAAUAAAGAAGAGAAAGAGAAUCACUCGGAUGGGAAAAGUUAACUGGAUUGUUCCCACCUGCAUGGAUCACCGGAAGCAACUUAGCCGUCUCGCCUUGCGGCCUGGAAGCCCUGGCAAUUUCCGGAGCACCGGCAAGAGACUUUUGCACAGUUUCUGCUUGGAGUCUACCGACUGUCUGUCUCAGAGGUCUGGACAGCUGCUUGUUACAUUUGGCUCACGCUAGCUUUAAAAAGGAAUGUAUGGACCUUACUGCAGAACGUCCCAAUUCUUCAGGCCAAGGUAAAUGCAAGUUGGGGUGGUAGUGAAGUUGCAAACUGCUCCUAAGAAAAAAAGUUAACAAGAUAUUGUUCCUUCCACCCCCGGCCUCCCGUUGGUUCCCCCACCCCAAGAGCCUUCCCACCAGGCUUCAGGGUGACAAACGCUUGGAUUUGGUGGGGCUGAGACUUGCUUGUGCCUUUGUUGAUGGCAGGGCACUUUUAUUGAAACUUGUUGAAAGGAGCUAGCUUCGAAGGCUCCUCCAAGACUCUACACCACAGGGGGAAGCAGGACUUUGAUUUAAGAUACUCACAUCUAUCAACCACAGGCAUUCAUUCAGUUUUCUCUUUCAUUUGGGGAAGGAAGGGAGAAAAUGAAUCAGAGGCUGAUUUUUUUUUUCUGGCCUGUUUUCCCCAAGCUCCAGGAAAUUAAGAAACAUGCCAUUAGUUUUAGCAAACAAUUUAAACAAAGUAAAACCAGAUCUCCCACCAAGGCCGAGGACCAUGAGGGGUCUGAGUGCCCCUGGCCCUGUUUGUGGACUCUGCGGGUCAUGGAGGAGCCAUGAAGUGGGAAGAGAGCUUGGGUGAUACAGGAUGGUGUGCGUGACAGUCCUCCCUGUGUCUUCUUUGCUACCAUAUUUAUCAUAGCUUAGAUGUGUGUGGCCUGGUGGCACCAAAGGUGAACAGAAAGCAUUUUUGGGGCGCCAUGGCCCAGACCUUAGCCUGAACGUUGUGGGAAGCCAGUGGGUGUCUGCAUGUGUUGGCGAGAACCAGUGGACAUCUCCUUGGAAGCCAGUCCCCAAGGUGGCUCUAGAUGGCUUACUCCUGCAUCUUGCCAAAUCCACAGGGUCCAGCUGUGUCUCCAGGGCUGCGUGGCUUAUUGAAAAAGAGAGUGUGUGGUGGAUUUCAAUAUCUAUAUUCUACAAAAAAUGUAAAAGGGGCAGGGGACGGGAACAAAGAAACCAGUGCUGGUGAUCCUGCCCCCACAGUAAGUUCUGCUUUAGUGUGGACAUGGGACAGGGGCCAGCCCCUGCUGCUCCCUGGGGGAACACAGGUCCGUGGGGGUGGCUCACCGUCAUGUAUGUGAUUUUGAUGUUUGUACAUUUGUUGUACCACAUGAACCAGUCUUGGACGGCUGUUCUGAGUAAAUGGGAUGAUGUGGGUAAAGCCCCCAAGACCAGAGCCUGGCACAGGGCCGUGCUGGAUAAUGCUGACUCAUGGUGAUGAGGGGAAGGAGGAGGCAGGAUGCCAUGGGUGAGGAGUCCAGGCUCCAGUGCUGCUGAACCACCAUCCACCAGUAUGAUCUCAGCAAGCCUCUCUCCACCUGGACCCAGAUGAUUCACCCGUUAAACAUCCCAGGCACAUUGAAGGGAGAUGAACAGUGUCCAGCAUGGUCCUCAGCUGUGAGAAGCCAUACACUCACCUUUUCCACCCUACAACUUUCCGUCAUCUGGGGUGCAGGUUUCUUUCCUCUCUUUUUCCUUAUUACAAGGUAAAAUACAGUCUUAUUACAGAAAACUAGAAACCAGAAAAGCCCAUCACACAGUCAUUCAUUCAACAAAUGCGUAUUGGGAAGGGUGGGGAUGAGCCCCUGGUGGAAAUGGGGUGAAGCCGUGGACUUUCUCUGGGUGCGAUGAAGGCUGACGGAGGGCUUUGAGCAUCCUCAAGAUUCAGAAGUCUGUUUUCAGUCAUCAGCAGCUGUACCAGGAGAGGAAGAACCUCUGAAGUGUUCUGGCUCCAAAAGCUAGUGAAAGUGCAGAUUUCCUGAGAAGGAGUGAAGCUUAGGGCCCUGCCAGGCAGUGAUGCUUUCUCAACUUUGGGGGCAGUAAAAUGUACAGACUCCGGCGAAGGAGACCAGGAAGGAGGCUGCAAAGUGUGCAUGCUCUGGGAAGGGGGCAGGGAAGGCUAGCAAAAAGCUGUUGGGGACCCAGCCAGGCUGCUUCCCUUGGAGGCCCAGCCUGAGAUGUGUUUCCCACCAUAUAUGGCAGAAAUGAUUUCAGGUGCUAUGUAGAUAAGCCACGAACUAUCACUGAAUCUUUUCUUGGUUGUAUUGUGAAAGAAAAAGUCUCUGUUGGGUGCUGGUGUAUCUUUGACACCACUUAACACUUGUCAAGCUCUCAUUUACUGAGGUAAAGCAGUCCUCAGGCUCAGAGCUUGUGACCAGGGAGUGGUAUCUAGCCAAAAUUUUAUUUCAAUGCUUUGUUUUCAUUGUCUUUAAAACAAAAGAUGGUUAUCUUCCAUUUGCCAUG
rnacentral:sRNA from 1 species